GACGAACGCUGGCGGCGUGCUUAACACAUGCAAGUCGAACGAAGAGCGAUGGAAGCUUGCUUCUAUCAAUCUUAGUGGCGCACGGGUGAGUAACGCGUAAUCAACCUGCCCUUCAGAGGGGGACAACAGUUGGAAACGACUGCUAAUGCCGCAUACGAUCUGACCUCGGCAUCGAGGAUAGAUGAAAGGUGGCCUCUAUUUAUAAGCUAUCACUGAAGGAGGGGAUUGCGUCUGAUUAGCUAGUUGGAGGGGUAACGGCCCACCAAGGCGAUGAUCAGUAGCCGGUCUGAGAGGAUGAACGGCCACAUUGGGACUGAGACACGGCCCAGACUCCUACGGGAGGCAGCAGUGGGGAAUCUUCCGCAAUGGACGAAAGUCUGACGGAGCAACGCCGCGUGAGUGAUGACGGCCUUCGGGUUGUAAAGCUCUGUUAAUCGGGACGAAAGGCCUUCUUGCGAAUAGUUAGAAGGAUUGACGGUACCGGAAUAGAAAGCCACGGCUAACUACGU
rnacentral:rRNA from 1 species